rnacentral:tRNA from 1 species
GCCUCGGUAGCUCAGCCUGGCAGAGCGGCUGGCUUGUAACCAGCAGGUCGUGGGUUCAAAUCCCACCCGGGGCU